AGAGUUUGGUCCUGGCUCAGGAUGAACGCUGGCGGCGUGCCUAAUACAUGCAAGUCGAACGGAGUUGUUGUAGCAAUACGGCAACUCAGUGGCGAACGGGUGAGUAACGCGUUGGUGACCUGCCCCGAAGAGGGGGAUAACAGUCCGAAAGGAUUGCUAAUACCCCAUGUGGUCAUCGGUUUUAGAAUCUGGUGACUAAAGUCGUAAGACACUUUGGGAGGGACCUGCGUCCCAUCAGCUAGUUGGUAAGGUAACGGCCUACCAAGGCUAUGACGGGUAGGGGACCUGAGAGGGUGACCCCCCACAAUGGCACUGAAACACGGGCCAUACACCUACGGGUGGCAGCAGUAGGAAUAUUGCUUAAUGUGCGAAAGCGCGAAGCAGCAACGCCGCGUGAGCGAUGAAGGCCUUCGGGUCGUAAAGCUCUUUUUCGAGGGAUGAGGAAGGACAGUACCUCGAGAAUAAGCCUCGGCUAACUACGUGCCAGCAGCCGCGGUAACACGUAGGAGGCGAGCGUUAUCCGGAUUUACUGGGCGUAAAGCGCGUGUAGGCGGUUCGGUUAGUUGGAUGUGAAAGCUCCUGGCCUAACUGGGAGAGGUCGUUCAAUACUGCCGAACUUGAGAGUGGUAGAGGAAGGUGGAAUUCCGCGUGUAGUGGUGAAAUGCGUAGAUAUGCGGAGGAACACCAGUGGCGAAAGCGGCCUUCUGGACCACUUCUGACGCUCAGACGCGAAAGCUAGGGGAGCAAACGGGAUUAGAGACCCCGGUAGUCCUAGCUGUAAACGAUGUGAACUUGGCGUUGGUGGGUUCAAAUCCAUCAGUGCCGUAGCUAACGCGAUAAGUUCACCGCCUGGGGACUACGGCCGCAAGGUUAAAACUCAAAGGAAUUGACGGGUCCCCGCACAAGCAGCGGAGCGUGUGGUUUAAUUCGAUUUACACGAAGAACCUUACCAGGGUUUGACAUGCAAGUAGUAGGAAAGGGAAACCGGACCGACCCUUCGGGGAGCUUGCACAGGUGCUGCAUGGCUGUCGUCAGCUCGUGUCGUGAGAUGUUCGGUUAAGUCCGCUAACGAGCGCAACCCUCGUCACGUGUUGCAAGUGUCACGUGGGACUGCCGGUCUUAAACCGGAGGAAGGUGAGGAUGACGUCAAGUCAGCAUGGCCUUUAUAUCCUGGGCCACACACACGCUACAAUGGUCAGCGCAAUAGGUUGCCAAACCGCGAGGUGGAGCCAAUCCUUAAUGUUGGCCUCAGUUCAGAUUGCAGGCUGCAACUCGCCUGCAUGAAGUCGGAGUUGCUAGUAACCGCAGGUCAGCUAUACUGCGGUGAAUACGUUCCCGGGGAUUGUACACACCGCCCGUCACGUCAUGGGAGCUGGUAACACCUGAAGCCGGUAUCCUAACCGCAAGGAAGGAGCCGUCGAGGGUGGGAUCGGUGACUGGGACGAAGUCGUAACAAGGUA
rnacentral:rRNA from 1 species